AUGUUAGUUUAUCUUGAGUUGAAUUAGGGUUUUUGACUUAGGUGAGUGUCUAUAUCACAUAAUAGGUCAUUAAUUCUUUAGGGUGAAAAUCUAGUAAGUAACCUUAGGAACAAUAUUCGGUCAUUAAUUAAAAUCAAGUGUGCUGCUAGACUCGUCGCGGAAAGGCUCGAGGAUAUUGGUAGGUCUAGGAGUAGUUAAAAGGAAUUAACUGCCCAUUGUCUAUCAAACCAAGAUUAAACCCAUAGUUGCUUUAGACGUUCGCGCGGCAAAGUAGAGCGUCUUACAUAAGCACUUUCAAGAAACUAGAGGACGGACAAGAAAUCUAGAAAACCGGUAGUUUAACAACCUCUAGGGAAUCUUAGUGUGCUCUUGAGAGGGAUUAGGGGUCCUUAGAUUUCCCUAGAGGUGAGAAUUUCAAGAUCCCGGUUUCACACCACAUCAUUAUCAUUUAGGAAUCCAUUCCGAGUUUAGCCUGCGUCUAGCCUAGGUAGUCUUCACUCUCACU
rnacentral:lncRNA from 1 species